GCCUGGGUGGCUCAGUCGGUUGAGUGUCCGACUUUGGCUCAGGUCAUGAUCUCACAGCUCGUGAGUUCAACCCCCGCCUCAGGCU
rnacentral:tRNA from 1 species